AAUUGGAGGGCAAGUCUGGUGCCAGCAGCCGCGGUAAUUCCAGCUCCAAUAGCGUAUAUUAAAGUUGUUGCAGUUAAAAAGCUCGUAGUUGAAUUUCGGGAUCAGCAGGUUGGUCGUGCCUACGGUAUGAACUGGCCUUGCUGAUUCCUCCCUCUUGAUGAGCCGUAAUGCCAUUAAUUUGGUGUUGCGGGGAAUCAGGACUGUUACUUUGAAAAAAUUAGAGUGUUUAAAGCAGGCAAGCGCUUGAAUACAUUAGCAUGGAAUAAUAGAAUAGGACGGCAUGGUUCUAUUUUGUUGGUUUCUAGGAUCACCGUAAUGAUUAAUAGGGAUAGUUGGGGGCAUUAGUAUUCAAUUGUCAGAGGUGAAAUUCUUGGAUUUAUUGAAGACUAACUACUGCGAAAGCAUUUGCCAAGGAUGUUUUCAUUAAUCAAGAACGAAAGUUAGGGGAUCGAAGACGAUCAGAUACCGUCGUAGUCUUAACCAUAAACUAUGCCGACUAGGAAUCAGACGAUGUUAAUUUUUUAAUGACUCGUUUGGCACCUUACGGGAAACCAAAGUGU
rnacentral:rRNA from 1 species